GGGAUUCGUAUAUAAAAAUUGUAAAAACCUAGGAAGAGAAGAAUUGUAUUUGGGGCAUUUUGGCAGCAAAUAACAAAGAAAAAAAAGAGUAUUCUCGAAAGAUGAAGAUGAAGGAGCAAGUAGAAUCUUCACUAAGGGCAAAGCUUAACCCUUCUCAUCUGGAAGUUGUUGAUAUGUCUGGGGGAUGUGGUGCAAAAUUCUCGAUUGUCAUUGUGACAGAACAAUUUGAAGGCAAAAGAUUGCUUGAGAGGCACAGAAUGGUUAACGGUGCACUGGCGGAGGAGAUGAAGGAAAUCCACGCUCUCUCUAUUACAAAAGCGCUCACUCCAGAGCAGUGGAAACAACAGCAGGAAUCUGAAAAGCCUCAAGCAGCUGCUUAAAUUAAUCAUAAUCUAAUCAGCUUUAUCGACGAAAUGCUUUUCUCUUCCCUAUAUCUAAUGAGGGGUUAACUGUCUUAUAGGUUUAAGAAAACCGUCUGUCUAUCAUGUUUUGAUUGAACUUGCUGGAUUUGAGACACUGCGAUAACUUGUAACUAUUGAAUAAUGCAAUAGCUCUGGGAUUCAAUCAAUG
rnacentral:misc_RNA from 1 species